GUCUCGGCUAACUACGUGCCAGCAGCCGCGGUAAAACGUAGGAGGCGAGCGUUAUCCGGAUUCACUGGGCGUAAAGCGCGUGCAGGUGGCUUGGUAAGUUAGGCGUGAAAUCUCCCGGCUCAACUGGGAGAGGUCGUCUAAUACUACCGGGCUUGAGAGCAGAAGAGGAAGAUGGAAUUCCCGGUGUAGUGGUGAAAUGCGUAGAUAUCGGGAGGAACACCAGUGGCGAAGGCGAUCUUCUGGUCUGUUUCUGACACUCAGACGCGACAGCUAGGGUAGUAAACGGGAUUAGAGACCCCGGUAAUCCUAGCCGUAAACGAUGUAAACUUGGCGUUGGUGGGUUAAACUCCAUCAGUGCCGCAGCAAACGCGAUAAGUUUACCGCCUGGGGACUACGGCCGCA
rnacentral:rRNA from 1 species